AACUUUUGGGAGCUCCUUGGACUUUGAAGUGCCAAAUGAAACGGCAUACAGGUUUGUCGUUUCAGACGCUAUUGGUCUUACCUCUUAACCUUGAAUAACAUAAGCCUCGGACAGUCACGGUAUACUAAAUCGGAUAGAGUGCAGGGCAAGGCCAUGGCGUUUGCUAUUUCCAACCCAACUUGCAUUUCUUCUUCUAUUUCACCUCUACUUAAAAAAGGUAAAAGGUUCACCCAUUUUUCACCUUCCAAUUUUGGUCUCACCAUUUACUUUGUAAAUUACAUUUAAAUUCCAUUAAGUUGGAUUUUUUUUCUAGGUCUGACUCAGGCGAGAGUAUGGGCUAAUUCAUGGUGUCUCAACCCCAAUUUAAAGCUUACAGGUUGUUUCCCGGUUACAAAGUGAGGGUGGUGGAAAAUCUUUGGCGCCGGAGAAAAGUGGUUUACAGUUUUAUUUGCUUUUUAUUUCUAAAUCUUUGUUUUCUUGUGUAUAUGAUAAUUGUUAGUACCAAUUUAACGGUAAAUUGAAAUUUUUAAAUAAAGUGGAAGAAAAGUGAAGUGAA